AAACAACAAGCGGGUGAGAGAGAGAAAGAGAGAGAGAGGGAGAGAGAGGUGGACAAGGAGGAGGACGACGACAACGAGGAGGAAGGAGCAAGGAUGGGUCAGAUUUUUUCCGGGAAAGCUAUAUAUUAUUCACCAGAAUCGGCUCUUGCCGCUGGCUAAUUACAACUGCAGCUGUAGCUAAUCGUAAGGUGAAUAGAUGAACUUACGAGGUGAGCCAUGUGUAAUUCGAUAUGUGUGUGUGCUACUACUGCCUUUCAUCAGGGAAAAAAAGUAGCACAGUUGUUAGGUUGACAGCAUUGGAGCUGCUAUUGGCUAUUACGCUUAAGAUGAAACCGAUGCCUUUAUUUAUAUAUUUUUUAUUAUAUAGAAAAGAGGUGUAGCUCAAUUUAUCGUUAGGAUCUCGUUAACUUGUUGCCAGUCAGAUAAAAAUCGACAAGAGAAUCAAAAGCUAAGUCAAGUUUAGAAAGCAGUGAUCUUAAAACCACCACAAUAGCUACAUGUAAGUUUACUGAAUUUGCAAUUUGAAUUAGUCAAUUUUGUGGGAGAAGAAUCGGUUCGACCAGGAAGAAAGCUAGAAAAAGAAGAAAGAAGGACGGGCUGUUGGGAGUGCGGCGUUUCGGUGCACAGGCUCAUCUGCACCCGGUCAGUAAAAAACUCCAAAAAAAAAAUCUAAAAAACUUCAAAAAAUUCCAAUUUUUUUGUGUGGUAGACAAUUUGAUGUGUGAGGUUCGCUCCAAAUUUUAGAGCAUUGACAUCUGAGCAGCUCUCAGCAAAAAAGACAAAUCGGGUCAGAACCGUGCGUGAACAGUAAACAUUUUUACAGACCCUGGAUUUGUCUUUUUUGUCGAGAGCUGCUCAGUUGUCCAAAUGCUCUCAAAAUUGAAGCGAACCUCACGCAUAAAAAUAUCUACCACAUAAAAAAAUUGAUUUUUUUUGAAUUUUUCUAGUAUUUAUUUUGAUUUUUUUUCGUCGGGGUGGGUGCAGCUGAGCCCGAGCUCAGAAAUGGAUUACCGGGGCUGUUGGAUCUUAGUCUAAUGACCCAAAAACCGACUUACCCAAGAUAAAUUCUGGAAAGCAUAGAAAAUGAGAUGUCAUGUAAGAAGAAAUGAAUAUACUUCAUCGCCGUUCCAAAUUUCGGACACACAAAGGAAAAACAUGUGGAUUCUAGGCAUGAAGGGGGAAAUAGGAGAAACACUCAUGUUUAUUUUCCUCCAAAAUACUUAUGGAUUUUCCUUUACUUGAUUUCAUAAGAAUAUUGAUGAGCACAAUACAAGAUUGUAGCCUUUUUUUCAAUAUGAAUUUAUUCAUUCAAAGUCUCUACGCGUUUCCUUUUAUUCUAGACGGGGCCUAAAACCAUAUAAAUGUUCUUCAGCCAAAGAAAUAUAUAUGUAUAAUACAUCGAUCGUUCUUGUAUUCUUGGGGUGAUCGAACCAUUUGGAGGACCCCCACCAUAAAAUAGAGACAUAAGUUCCAAAAUAGAAUACCUUAGUGGAUGUAUGUUUUUACUGGCAAACAUAAGCUUAAUUACUAUUAAACUGAUCAUUAACCCAUGAAUUAACACUAUUUUUUCUAACCCACAGGAAGGAACAACCUGGCAAGUCUACAAAAGCUACAAAUAAAUACUACAAAAAAUCAAGUAUAGACGAUCUAGUUUUAAGGGCGACAAUGGACUCAAUUACUAGAAUUGGAUAAAAUUGCAAUCCGACGAUGGAAAGGAACAUGUGAGUUUUUCUUACCUGAUAUUGUAGGCACUAAUUAUGAUACAUGAAGUUCCGUUUGGGUGUAGUUGUUUCAUUUUAGGAAAUUUCUCACAUGAGAAACUUUUUAGGCAGUCACUUUUAAAAGGAAAAACUUAGUUCCCUUAUGUUAUUUAAUACCCUACAUUAAUUAUUCCCAUCACAAAAAUUGUUAAUAACAUCAUCUUUCCCCUCUUUCAGGCAAUUACUGGUGAUUGCACAAAUAUCACCAUGUCUACUUAUUGUUUGUAGGAGAAUGCAGCUGUGCAGCUUGCCAUCCAUAAUUUUGUCAAGAAAACGAAAAAAUGUUGCAUCUCCCGGCCUUGUACUUUCAAGCUUCUGGCUCGUUAAUGAUUUAUGUACUAUAGUUCAUGUUUUGUUCAGACAUGUAACUUUUAUGUACUCUGAAUGUAUUAACUUGUCAUCCUUGAAAAGUCAAUGUCUCCC
rnacentral:lncRNA from 1 species